CUGACGAGUGGCGGACGGGUGAGUAAUGCUUGGGAAUCUGGCUUAUGGAGGGGGAUAACGACGGGAAACUGUCGCUAAUACCGCGUAGUGUCGAGAGACGAAAGGGUGGGACUUUUAGACCACCUGCCAUAAGAUGAGCCCAAGUGGGAUUAGGUAGUUGGUGGGGUAAAGGCCUACCAAGCCUGCGAUCUCUAGCUGGUCUGAGAGGAUGACCAGCCACACUGGAACUGAGACACGGUCCAGACUCCUACGGGAGGCAGCAGUGGGGAAUAUUGCGCAAUGGGGGGAACCCUGACGCAGCCAUGCCGCGUGAAUGAAGAAGGCCUUCGGGUUGUAAAGUUCUUUCGGUAUUGAGGAAGGUUGAUGUGUUAAUAGCACAUCAAAUUGACGUUAAAUACAGAAGAAGCACCGGCUAACUCCGUGCCAGCAGCCGCGGUAAUACGGAGGGUGCGAGCGUUAAUCGGAAUAACUGGGCGUAAAGGGCACGCAGGCGGUUAUUUAAGUGAGGUGUGAAAGCCCUGGGCUUAACCUGGGAAUUGCAUUUCAGACUGGGUAACUAGAGUACUUUAGGGAGGGGUAGAAUUCCACGUGUAGCGGU
rnacentral:rRNA from 1 species